rnacentral:rRNA from 1 species
AACGAACGCUGGCGGCAUGCUUAACACAUGCAAGUUGAACGAGAAGGUACCUUCGGGUACUGGACAGUAGCGCACGGGUGAGUAACGCGUGGGGAUUUGCCCUAGAGUGGGGAACAACCUUUGGAAACGAAGGCUAAUACCGCAUACGUCCUUAGGGAGAAAGGCUUCGGCCGCUCUUGGAUGAUCCCGCGUCUGAUUAGCUAGUUGGUGGGGUAAUGGCCUACCAAGGCGACGAUCAGUAGCUGGUCUGAGAGGAUGAUCAGCCACACUGGGACUGAGACACGGCCCAG